CAUCACUGAGGAACCCGACAUUUGCUGCUAAACAUUGAACAGGAGAGGAUUGUCACUAUGCUCUCUAAAUCUGUCGUCCUUUGUCUGGUUUUGGGCGCGCUGAGCAGCUCUGGGAAAUCUACAGGCUGGCCCAAGUUGUGCAAAACGGAUGCUGACUGCUCGCAUUACUUUCCCUACUGCGGAGAGGGCAAAUGUCGCCCGGUUACAACAUCCUGCAUUUCCGGCGAACGCGGCGUUGCCGGAUGUAACAGAUGUAACUGUGUACGUCACGGCUGGGCUUGUACCUACAUUAACUGCCCGUCAUAUAAGCAUAAAGGAGCGGUACCGUGUCGGCUGGCAAGAGACCUGUCACUGUGCCGUUAAAUAUCUUCGGCACUGCUUCGGCAGCUUCAGCUGGAAUUGCAAGAGAACAGCCACCACUUUCAGAGGCAGCUUUGGAGCUGGUAAUGGGAGUUUCUGAACGUGUGAAAAAUCCGCGCACAAAAAAA
rnacentral:lncRNA from 1 species